GAUGAACGCUGGCGGCGUGCCUAAUACAUGCAAGUCGAGCGAACAGACGAGGAGCUUGCUCCUCUGACGUUAGCGGCGGACGGGUGAGUAACACGUGGAUAACCUACCUAUAAGACUGGGAUAACUUCGGGAAACCGGAGCUAAUACCGGAUAAUAUAUUGAACCGCAUGGUUCAAUAGUGAAAGACGGUUUUGCUGUCACUUAUAGAUGGAUCCGCGCCGCAUUAGCUAGUCGGUAAGGUAACGGCUUACCAAGGCAACGAUGCGUAGCCGACCUGAGAGGCUGAUCGGCCACACUGGAACUGAGACACGGUCCAGACUCCUACGGGAGGCAGCAGUAGGGAAUCUUCCGCAAUGGGCGAAAGCUUGACGGAGCAACGCCGCGUGAGUGAUGAAGGUCUUCGGAUCGUAAAACUCUGUUAUUAGGGAAGAACAAAUGUGUAAGUAACUAUGCACGUCUUGACGGUACCUAAUCAGAAAGCCACGGCUAACUACGUG
rnacentral:rRNA from 1 species